AAGUUCGCUCUGGAUGUCGUUGCAAGAUGCGCUUUCGGCACUACGCUAGACUCUCACACCGACUCGGGCAAAAAGGUCGCGACAGAAGCAAGGAAAGCAUUAUCCAGUGGAGUUACCCUUUCUCUGCUGAUGCAUUUUUUGUUCCCGGGCCUUACGAACGUCCUGAGAUUGAAGGCGCUCGACUCGGAGUCUUUUCACUACCUCGAGAAUGUUUGCGUGACCAUAAUUCAAAAGAGGAAAGAAAAGCGAUGCCGCCAGGAAGACUUCCUGCAACUCAUGAUGGACGCUCAGGAGCGAGCCCUUGACGAAAGUGCCGAAUCUAC
rnacentral:lncRNA from 1 species